CUUCGUCCAUCUCGUCGUCCCGCUCCCUCUCAUCCCUCGAUCCGAAUUCCCACAUCACAAUCGCAAUCCCUGCCCGCAAAUGAAGCCACGACUUGGGGAACCUUGGUGCUCAAAGCCUCCACUACCACAACGAUCCACCCGAUCGAUCCAGGACUCCAGGUAGCCACCCCUUGCUUGUUUACUCCCCCACAUCAGCCCCACUUCGGCAAGGACCAGGGCAGGCUCUUCACGCCCGCCGCACCUCGCCAUGUCCCAUCAUCCCGAGCUCACGCAGGUGCACAACAGCCGCGUCCUAUCAUCCACGGUUCCACCACCGCGUCCCUCGAUCCGAAUUCCCACAUCGCAAUUAAAAUAAACUCUAGCAAUCCGGGGAUCUCGCGAACCUAGAAAUCCAAGGAUCUCGCGAACGGCACCACCGCAGCUGUCGCCAUGGCAUGUAGAGCUCGAACCCCAUAGUCGCCGAUGUUCUGCAUCCCCGUGAUUUCGAGGGGAGGGCCCAGCCCUGCGCCCGCAACGGCCCUCAUCAGCGCUGGGAGUCUAUACAACCAGCUGAUGUACCAAAGGAGGAAGUAGGGGGCGCCUGCUGCGUGGAGAAGGAAUGGACGGCAGGCACGCCGGUAUCCCACUGGGAUUCCUCUGUGCUGGGGUGCAGCCGUUUUUGAAGCGGUGGUGUGGUUUUCUGCAUCUAUCACGGUGGUGGUUAGACUCGAUCGGCAGGGGCCUGGCUCUUUCUUUGUCGCCGGAAGGGACAGAGGAAACGGAAUCACUAGAGCAUAACGAGGGGAUCACCAAGGUGUGGCUGCCAACGCCAAUUGACAACGGCUCUAGCAAGUUGAAUUUAAACACACAACCGGCAGCAGUCUUCGCAAAGGGCCAAGGAAAAAGGAUUGUGACAAUCAUCGGAUCAGAGAACAUCUGCCUGAUGCUGCCUAACGGUGUAGGGUAGUGCUGAAUUGUAAUGGAAGAGGAGACAUGGAUGUAUACACAACCAGCAAGUACCUUGAUGUCUGUCAAUUAUCAUGUCUGGCAAUAUGGCUAUGAAGUGUAAAUACUUCUGUUGCUCAGCUUUUAAAGCUGAAUUUAUCUGCAACUGCACUGUGACGUGAUGGGCCUGAUGUUUGCUGAGUUCGUCAACGACCACAAUAUCAGCCAAUCAAUGAAGACGAUAGUUCAUGCAUCGUGGAGCAUAAGAGAAAGAUUGAUGUAUAACAGCAUGAGCGGAGAGGGUGGAGAAUAAUCUUCAACUACAAGAUAUUAAAUCAGAUGAAGAAAUAAUUUCACUAUUGAAGUAUUUAAAGACUCGGGAAGAAAAGUUCUGGAAACAUGUGCCAUAGCCUGGACACACCAUCAAUAUUUCUGAACGGUGGAUAUAAUAGUGUGACAUGGCUAUCAUCUCUUGAUUGGUUUUCUCCACAAAAAAAAAACGAUAUCCUGGUGCCUCUCACAUCGACGGGUUCUGCGUGUUCAUAUGCAUAUGUUGAUGCAAUGGAAGGCAAUGCAUUCGUUUUUGGUGGUGGGGAUGGAGGUUCGUGGUAUAACACAUGUAUACUAUGAUAUUUAAAUGUACGUCCCUACUUCUUUUUUUGGGCUUCAAACUGCAUUUAUGCACUUUCUACUUCUUUUUUUGGGCUUCAAACUGCAUUUAUGCACUUUCUGUUCUUGUAGUGGAAUCCUAUAAUACAAGGAGUGACAAGUGGAUGAUAUGCCCCAGUUUGAACCAUGAGAAAGGAACUAUUGCUUGAGUAAGUCGUAAUGGCAAAAUUUACACAAUGGAUGGAGAUGAAACUCAAACUUAUUCAGAAGAUGAGAUGUUUAAUCCUUUCCUUGGCAAGAGGAGAACCCGGUGAGGUGUUGCUGUUGUAGAUCGCGAUCGGACCUAUGCGACGACAAAAGGUAGAGGGAGGCGAGGUGGCACUGUGGGUGGAAGGGUGGUGCAGUGCGGAAGUUCUCUUAGGGAUAGCCUGGGAGGGGUCUGUCCGCACGAAAAGACAGGUAUGAGAUAUUUCCCAUUUUUCUUUGCCUUAUGGUUUGUUUGUGUUGCUUGUUGGUUCACAACCUGUCAAACAGGACAUGCAUGUAUAUACUCCGAAACCAUGCAAUUUUUGUCUGUCCUCGGUUGUUCUUAUGCUCAAAAUGUAUAAAGGUGCCCAUGAAGUGCUCAGUUUAAGCUAUGAAAUAGGUUGUCAUGGCCAAUGCGAGAAUUCGAAUUUUUGGAAUGGCGUAUGUCCAAGAAUACAAAUAUAUUUAUCACCUCUAGAAAUUAAUACCUAAUUUUAUUACACUUGAACUUUUAGCAAUGCCAUUAUUUUUCAUCUUCAACCAAUUAAUCUGUGAAUGUGCUUUUUUUUGUAUUGGUUGCUUCAACUGUACUCCUAAUCAUUCAACAAAUCAAGCAGCAAGCUCUAGGGGCCAUGAGGCUCAGCGCUUGGCACGGGGGUGGUAGAGGCCAAGAGGGAGCGAGAAAAGGGCGCUAUAGCUCCACGUUCUCACUGGGAAGGUAGAGGAGGAUCGGGGAAGUCGCGGCGAGGCAUGCUGGUGGUGGUGCUUGAGGGUGGGCGGGCUCAUCGGGAAGGUGUCGGGUGACCAAACUUGAGCAGAUGGGGGCAAGUGUGAAGUCGUGAAUGGGGCGGAGCAACAGAUUGGAUCGGCCAUGUGGCACCAGAGGGGAAGAAGACAACCACCAUACCGACAAUUCAGAAAAUGGAGGAGUUUUUGCACGGUUAUUUGUGCAAAAAAUAUUUAAGAGCAACUUGUGUUCAGUUAUUUUUUUGUGGGUUAAUUUAAUCCCGAGUUAUGUGAGAUUGCAAAGAAAAGAACAUUGUGAAAGACAAUAACUCCGACGUCAUUUUAGUGCUUUCCAUAUUUUGGAGUUCAUACAA